AGUGAACGCUGGCGGUAGGCCUAACACAUGCAAGUCGAACGGCAGCACAGUAAGAGCUUGCUCUUACGGGUGGCGAGUGGCGGACGGGUGAGGAAUACAUCGGAAUCUACUUUUUCGUGGGGGAUAACGUAGGGAAACUUACGCUAAUACCGCAUACGACCUACGGGUGAAAGCAGGGGAUCUUCGGACCUUGCGCGAUUGAAUGAGCCGAUGUCGGAUUAGCUAGUUGGCGGGGUAAAGGCCCACCAAGGCGACGAUCCGUAGCUGGUCUGAGAGGAUGAUCAGCCACACUGGAACUGAGACACGGUCAAGACGCCUACGGGAGGCAGCAGUGGGGAAUAUUGGACAAAGGGCGCAAGCCUGAUCCAGCCAUACCGCGUGGGUGAAGAAGGCCUUCGGGUUGUAAAGCCCUUUUGUUGGGAAAGAAAAGCAGCAGGUUAAUACCCCGCUGUUCUGACGGUACCCAAAGAAUAAGCACCGGCUAACUUCGUG
rnacentral:rRNA from 1 species